ensembl:snRNA U2 U2 spliceosomal RNA
AACAAUUCCUGGCAUUUUGGCUAAGAUCAAGUGUAUAUCUGUUCUUUUCAGUCUAAUUUAUGAUAUGUUCUCUAUCCAAAGACAAUAUAUAAAAUGGAUUUUUGAGAGCAGGAAAUAGAAUAGGAGCUUGCUUUUUCCAUUCCAUGCAUUGGCCUGGUAUUACAGUACCUCGGGGAGUGGUGCACAAAGA